rnacentral:lncRNA from 1 species
UUUUGGUCUCGAUCGAGGAAAGAUAAAGAGCCAGUGGUAGCUGAGGUGGCAGAAGAGGUGAAAAAGGAAUACUCUGGCAUGCCCUACCCUUACAAAGCCAAACAUACUUAUCACCUGAAGAUCUCCAGAGAGUCGUUUUGAACCUGGUAAAGAGGUUUUGGUUCAUUUCUUCCCGGUAAUUGAGAGGACAGAUCCCUGGAAGAUGGUAAUCUGAAGUUCAGUCUCGGCAUGGCCAUUGUAGUCCCUAACUCCAGGCUUCACGAGCUGUGCAGCGUUAGAGAUGUUCUUGAUUUCUAUAAAGUCGCUGUUCACAACAGAUGUAAAUUUGAUGAACUUGAUGCCAAUAAUCUGCCUCUCAAUUUGAAAACCACCUGAAGUUACUGA